UGGGGAAUAUUGGACAAUGGGCGAAAGCCUGAUCCAGCGACGCCGCGUGAAGGAAGACGGUCUUCGGAUUGUAAACUUCAGUGAGCAGGGACGAGAAAGGACGGUACCUGCAGAGCAAGCCACGGCUAACUACGUGCCAGCAGCCGCGGUAAUACGUAGGUGGCGAGCGUUAUCCGGAAUUACUGGGUGUAAAGGGUGAGUAGGCGGGGAUGCAAGUCAGGUGUGAAAUGCAGGGGCUUAACCUCUGAGCUGCACUUGAAACUGCGUUUCUUGAGAGUCGGAGGGGUAAUCGGAAUUCCCGGUGUAGCGGUGAAAUGCGCAGAGAUCGGGAGGAACACCAGUGGCGAAGGCGGAUUACUGGACGACAACUGACGCUGAGACACGAAAGCGUGGGGAGCAA
rnacentral:rRNA from 1 species